rnacentral:rRNA from 1 species
AGAUUGAACGCUGGCGGCAUGCUUUACACAUGCAAGUCGAACGGCAGCACGGGGGCAACCCUGGUGGCGAGUGGCGAACGGGUGAGUAAUAUAUCGGAACGUACCCGGAAAUGGGGGAUAACGUAGCGAAAGUUACGCUAAUACCGCAUAUG